rnacentral:rRNA from 1 species
AGAGUUUGAUCCUGGCUCAGGAUGAACGCUAGCUACAGGCUUAACACAUGCAAGUCGAGGGGCAGCAUGGUCUUAGCUUGCUAAGGCCGAUGGCGACCGGCGCACGGGUGAGUAACACGUAUCCAACCUGCCGUCUACUCUUGGACAGCCUUCUGAAAGGAAGAUUAAUACAAGAUGGCAUCAUGAGUCCGCAUGUUCACAUGAUUAAAGGUAUUCCGGUAGACGAUGGGGAUGCGUUCCAUUAGAUAGUAGGCGGGGUAACGGCCCACCUAGUCUUCGAUGGAUAGGGGUUCUGAGAGGAAGGUCCCCCACAUUGGAACUGAGACACGGUCCAAACUCCUACGGGAGGCAGCAGUGAGGAAUAUUGGUCAAUGGACGAGAGUCUGAACCAGCCAAGUAGCGUGAAGGAUGACUGCCCUAUGGGUUGUAAACUUCUUUUAUAAAGGAAUAAAGUCGGGUAUGGAUACCCGUUUGCAUGUACUUUAUGAAUAAGGAUCGGCUAACUCCGUGCCAGCAGCCGCGGUAAUACGGAGGAUCCGAGCGUUAUCCGGAUUUAUUGGGUUUAAAGGGAGCGUAGGCGGGUUGUUAAGUCAGUUGUGAAAGUUUGCGGCUCAACCGUAAAAUUGCAGUUGAUACUGGCGACCUUGAGUGCAACAGAGGUAGGCGGAAUUCGUGGUGUAGCGGUGAAAUGCUUAGAUAUCACGAAGAACUCCGAUUGCGAAGGCAGCCUGCUAAGCUGCAACUGACAUUGAGGCUCGAAAGUGUGGGUAUCAAACAGGAUUAGAUACCCUGGUAGUCCACACGGUAAACGAUGAAUACUCGCUGUUUGCGAUAUACUGCAAGCGGCCAAGCGAAAGCGUUAAGUAUUCCACCUGGGGAGUACGCCGGCAACGGUGAAACUCAAAGGAAUUGACGGGGGCCCGCACAAGCGGAGGAACAUGUGGUUUAAUUCGAUGAUACGCGAGGAACCUUACCCGGGCUUAAAUUGCAGAUGAAUUACGGUGAAAGCCGUAAGCCGCAAGGCAUCUGUGAAGGUGCUGCAUGGUUGUCGUCAGCUCGUGCCGUGAGGUGUCGGCUUAAGUGCCAUAACGAGCGCAACCCUUGUUGUCAGUUACUAACAGGUUACGCUGAGGACUCUGACAAGACUGCCAUCGUAAGAUGUGAGGAAGGUGGGGAUGACGUCAAAUCAGCACGGCCCUUACGUCCGGGGCUACACACGUGUUACAAUGGGGGGUACAGAGGGCCGCUACCACGCGAGUGGAUGCCAAUCCCCAAAACCUCUCUCAGUUCGGACUGGAGUCUGCAACCCGACUCCACGAAGCUGGAUUCGCUAGUAAUCGCGCAUCAGCCACGGCGCGGUGAAUACGUUCCCGGGCCUUGUACACACCGCCCGUCAAGCCAUGGGAG